rnacentral:tRNA from 1 species
CAAAAUAUAGCUUAAAUAAAGCAUUUUGCUUACACCAAAAAAAUAUUUGUUAAACCAAAUUAUUUUGA